rnacentral:lncRNA from 1 species
CCGUCUAUUUCAGGUUCAUCUAUAAUGGUCUUAGUUCUGCAAAAUCCUUCAGUUCAUUCAUCCAUGGUUGAUAUUAUUUGAAAAUACGAAAUUUUGUUUGAGGUAAGCAGUUUGUUAAGUACAUAUAUGUAUGUGCAUUUAUCAGGUUUCCGUCCUGAUUUAUAGAAGUGUAAGUAGGAGUAUGUAUUAUUCACACAAGUUGGUGGUAGUGUAAGCCUACUUGUGGUAUCACAAGUAAUCCCUCUAUUUUUAUUAACUUCGCAUAUAGAUUUUGUUUUAAGUCAAAAAAAAGUUUCGUCAAGUUUAUGGAAAAAAGACAUCAACAAUUAGAAUACCAAAUCAAUGUCAUUAGAUCCUUCAUAGAAUAUAUUUUCAUACUAUACCUAUUUGGUAUUGUAGAUGUUGCUACUUUUUUAUAAAAAGUUGGUCAAACUUUACUAAAUUUGACUUAAGACAAACCUAAUAUGCGAAGUAAAUAGAAACAAAGGGAAUAUUAUGAAGUAUUUUUUUUUUUGCUUGCCUUGAUAUGUCAAAAUGUCAGAUGGCUCUAAGUACAUUUCAGCCUCAUUAACAAUCCGGAUAAUUGCCAUUUCAUCCUUUGAUCCACAUUGAAUAUGACAUGUAGAUUAAAACCAACAAGACAUAAAACUAUAUAUUAUUCAGUGUCAUACACUCUUCUUCUAAUUAUUACCUAAUAUAUAGGUUAGCUUAUUUAAAUUUACUUUGUUAUAUUUGGAAAUUACUAUCAUCAUGGUCCAUAUUCCACAAUCGUUUUUGCACUUUCAUGACUUAUUAAAUGCUGUUGUUAUAGAGUUAUGAUUAAACUUAUGAGAUGUUGGAAAAAAAUUGUAGGUGGUAUUGUUAGAUGCUAUGGGAAACAUGUCAACUUCAUGUGCAAUGGAAGGAAAAGGGCGGCCUUAUUGAGGUAUGGUUGGAGGCUUCGAGCACGAAGAUAAACUUAAAAAUAAAGAAGAGCCUGCGUAAAAUGAUCAAUAUUUUGUUUGAGUGUAUGAGAAUGGAUCAAAGGUUCAAUGAAGUGUUUCACUCACCCAUUGGGUUCAAUUAUUUCAUGCCUUUGUAUAUUAAUCACAAUUCAUAUUAUUUCAUUGGAAAAAUGGACGGGCGCAGCAACGCACGCCAUCAUGGUCUAGUAUAGAACAUAGGAUGACAGACUUGUACAACAUUCGUACCAUUUCAAUGUUGUUGUAUCAUGUGAACUUGUAAAACUUCUGUACUAUGAGAACUGCAAUGAAAGAUAUGUUUUCUU